rnacentral:rRNA from 1 species
AACGCGAAGAACCUUACCAGUCCUUGACAUGUCCACUAUGGGUUUGAGAGAUCAGAUCCUUCACUUCGGGUGGGUGGAACACAGGUGCUGCAUGGCUGUCGUCAGCUCGUGUCGUGAGAUGUUGGGUUAAGUCCCGCAACGAGCGCAACCCUCAUCUUCAGUUGCCCCCGGGUAAGGCCGGGCACUCUGAAGAAACCGCCGGUGACAAGCCGGAGGAAGGCGGGGAUGACGUCAAGUCCUCAUGGCCCUUACGGACUGGGCUACACACGUACUACAAUGGUGGUGACAAUGGGCAGCGAAAGCGCGAGCUGGAGCCAAUCCCCAAAAGCCAUCUCAGUUCAGAUUGCACUCUGCAACUCGAGUGCAUGAAGUUGGAAUCGCUAGUAAUCGCAGAUCAGCACGCUGCGGUGAAUACGUUCCCGGGCCUUGUA